UACGUAGGGGGCUAGCGUUGUCCGGAAUCAUUGGGCGUAAAGCGCGUGUAGGCGGUCCGGUAAGUCCGCUGUGAAAGUCGGGGGCUCAACCCUCGGAUGCCGGUGGAUACUGUCGGGCUUGAGUACGGAAGAGGCGAGUGGAAUCCUGGUGUAGCGGUGAAAUGCGCGGAUAUCAGGAGGAACACCGAUGGCGAAGGCAGAUUCUCUGGGCCGUGAACUGCGCUGAGGAGCGAAAGCGUGGGGAGCGAACAGG
rnacentral:rRNA from 1 species